UCAGGACGAACGCUGGCGGCGUGCUUAACACAUGCAAGUCGAACGAGAAUCCGUGGAAAGAGUUUCGGACAAUGGAAGCGGAGGAAAGUGGCGGACGGGUGAGUAACGCGUGAGGAACCUGCCUUGGAGAGGGGGACAACAGCUGGAAACGGCUGCUAAUACCGCAUGACGCAAUGAGACCGCAUGGUUUUAUUGCCAAAGAUUUAUCGCUCUGAGAUGGCCUCGCGUCUGAUUAGCUAGUUGGAGGGGUAACGGCCCACCAAGGCAACGAUCAGUAGCCGGACUGAGAGGUUGAACGGCCACAUUGGGACUGAGAUACGGCCCAGACUCCUACGGGAGGCAGCAGUGGGGAAUAUUGGGCAAUGGGCGCCAAGCCUGACCCAGCAACGCCGCGUGAAGGAAGAAGGCUUUCGGGUUGUAAACUUCUUUUGAGAGGGAAGAGGAGAAGACGGUACCUCUUGAAUAAGCCACGGCUAACUACGUGCCAGCAGCCGC
rnacentral:rRNA from 1 species